UAGCAAUACAGUGGAAAGUUCAGUGGCGAACGGGUGCGUAACACGUGGGCAAUCUGCCUUAAAGUGGGGGAUAGCUCGGCGAAAGCCGAAUUAAUACCGCAUGUGGCUACUGGAGACAUCUUCGGGACGCUAAAGGUGGCGCAAGCUACCGCUUUUUGAGGAGCCCGCGGCCUAUCAGCUUGUUGGUGAGGUAACGGCUCACCAAGGCGUUGACGGGUAGCUGGUCUGAGAGGACGACCAGCCACACUGGGACUGAGACACGGCCCAGACACCUACGGGUGGCAGCAGUCGAGAAUUUUUGACAAUGGGGGAAACCCUGAUCGAGCGACGCCGCGUGGAGGAUGAAGGUCUUCGGGUUGUAAACUCCUGUCAUUUGGGAACAAGGCGUAUGUAUUAACUGUACGUGCGUUGAUAGUACCAGAAGAGGAAGAGACGGCUAACUCUGUGCCAGCAGCCGCGGUAAUACAGAGGUCUCAAGCGUUGUUCGGAUUCAUUGGGCGUAAAGGGUGUGUAGGUGGCGCGCUAAGUCGGGUGUGAAAUUUCGGAGCUUAACUCCGAAACUGCAUUCGAUACUGGCGUGCUUGAGGACUGGAGAGGAGACUGGAAUUCACGGUGUAGCA
rnacentral:rRNA from 1 species